AUUGAACGCUGGCGGAAUGCUUUACACAUGCAAGUCGAACGGCAGCACGGGGCAACCUGGUGGCGAGUGGCGAACGGGUGAGUAAUACAUCGGAACGUGCCCAAUCGUGGGGGAUAACGUAGCGAAAGUUACGCUAAUACCGCAUACGAUCUACGGAUGAAAGCGGGGGAUCGCAAGACCUCGCGCGAGUGGAGCGGCCGAUGUCAGAUUAGGUAGUUGGUGGGGUAAAGGCUCACCAAGCCAACGAUCUGUAGCUGGUCUGAGAGGACGACCAGCCACACUGGAACUGAGACACGGUCCAGACUCCUACGGGAGGCAGCAGUGGGGAAUUUUGGACAAUGGGCGCAAGCCUGAUCCAGCCAUUCCGCGUGCAGGAUGAAGGCCUCGGGUUGUAACUAGCUUUGUACGGUAACGAAACGGACGAGCUCUAAUACAGUUUG
rnacentral:rRNA from 1 species